rnacentral:rRNA from 1 species
UUGAACGCUGGCGGCAGGCCUCACACAUGCAAGUCGAGCGGAUGAAGGGAGCUUGCUCCUGGAUUCAGCGGCGGACGGGUGAGUAAUGCCUAGGAAUCUGCCUGGUAGUGGGGGAUAACGUCCGGAAACGGGCGCUAAUACCGCAUACGUCCUGAGGGAGAAAGUGGGGGAUCUUCGGACCUCACGCUAUCAGAUGAGCCUAGGUCGGAUUAGCUAGUUGGUGGGGUAAAGGCCUACCAAGGCGACGAUCCGUAACUGGUCUGAGAGGAUGAUCAGUCACACUGGAACUGAGACACGGUCCAGACUCCUACGGGAGGCAGCAGUGGGGAAUAUUGGACAAUGGGCGAAAGCCUGAUCCAGCCAUGCCGCGUGUGUGAAGAAGGUCUUCGGAUUGUAAAGCACUUUAAGUUGGAAGGAAGGGCAGUAAGUUAAUACCUUGCUGUUUUGACGUUACCAACAGAAUAAGCACCGGCUAACUUCGUG